GGGGAUGUAGCUCAGUUGGCAGAGCGCUGCGUUCGCAAUGCAGAGGCCAGGAGUUCGACUCUCCUCAUCUCCACCA
rnacentral:tRNA from 2 species